GACAAGGCAGCUCUUUUAUGCAUUGGAUAUCAACAAUGUUCAGAGACUUGGGAUCUGAUUAUACCACAUCUCUGUUGGCUCUGAUUCUACAACCUUCCCAAGCUAGACAAAGAAAUGAUUCUCUUUUAUCGCCUAAUGGUGAAACCGAUGACACUAUCUACUCGAAACUACUAUCUGCUUUUCAGGCCAUCUAUCACCCGAGAUCGA
rnacentral:misc_RNA from 1 species